UUUCAGCAUGCAGGCCUUCUGUUAAACACAAAGAUACAAGGCUAGUUAACAUAGCAGGGAAUUCUAGGGAGGAGGGAGAAUGCCACAGGCCUUUUUGCACCUUGUCUGCCUUAAGGCCGCAUUGAUACAUUUCACCCCCAUUUCUCCAAAGCAGGUGAAUCCAGGAAGCUGCCAAGAUGUGUAGUUGCUGCUUUAGUUCGUGUUCGGGUCAGGGUUCUCUCUGGGACUGUUUUGUGAAUACAGUGAAGAGUUUCCUAAGGCCCUUGAAGAAUUUGCUUUUCGGGUUCAAAGAACUUCCUGAGCGUCCUUUUGAGGCUCCCAAGCUUCCCAAGGUUGCUGAGAAGACAAAGUGAGGUGGGGCAGAACGUCUGCUGAUUCCCUUCCAUGAUGGACUCGGUCUCCUCUCCUCCUCCACCGCUGGCAGAGCAUGGAUGGGUCUCCCCCCCGACUGUCAAGGGGCUCCGUGAUAUUAUGUUAGCCCCAAAUUCCAAAGCAGAAUAAAGCUUGUUUUGGAUCUGAA